rnacentral:sRNA from 1 species
CGUCGUUGCCCUUCUUGGGCGUUUCCUCCCUGUAAACUGGCCCGGGCUUGUCCCGGGCUUUUUUUUGCCUGGA